AAAAGUGGUGAUGACAGAAAAUUGUCUGUUGCUUUUGAAAGAAGUGGAGUUUUCCUGUGUGUUUGACAUCCCCUUGGUGAAAGGUGACGAGCCUCUGAAGUUACCCUCCUUUCUGCCAUGCACACUCUGGAAGCUUCUUAAAAUGCUUCUGCUCAGCAUCUGACUUUUUAAAAACUGCAUAAAUACAUUGAUCCAGAUUCCUCCAAGGAGCUAAACUUUUCCCGCGGAAGCAUGUUAACCUUUUCCAGGUUGCCCCCAAACCCAACAGAGCCAGUGACUUCCUCCACUAUGCUCUGCUGCAACAUUGACUGCUGUCCGCUCCUGGGCCCUAAUUGACUAGCUGAGUAUGCCACCCGCUGUCCCUGUAGCCUAGGAGCCUUGUUUGUCUCUGAUUGUCCUCUCCUGAGGCCCCCUGAAGGUGCGUGGAGAAUGUUGCAUAUAGUCAAGUCAGGGUCUCUCUGCACUGCCUGAAGCGGCCUUAUUGGUCAGAUAGUUAAUAAGCAACUCGUUUAUUGCCACUUUCGGAGUUUAUUGCUUAGACUGGUAGAAUGAACAAAUCACGGACACACACAUUUUUAGAUAGACAAACGGGUCGGUUAAGUAACCAAAAAUUUGCCAUGAAUUUGAGUCUGGGCCAAACAAAGGAAAAAACCAACCCAGGAAAUCUCCACCUCUCCACCCUUGUCAUUCAAGAAGAAAGUUUCUUUGCAAAUGUGUGCAUAGACUGUUUUUCAGUGUCGUUAUCCUGGGCAGUGAAAAUAGCACCCAUGGAUACUCGCCCCACCCCUUCUCACAUGGAGAACUAAGCUCGUAAGCUCGGGAGAAGACUUUUGGGUUUGGAAGGCUCCUCUGGGACAGAAACUGCCUUUAUUUUUCAGUCAUCCUCCCUCUGUCCCGAAGCAAAGAGAAAAUUGAACCAUGUUCAUCCGUGGAAGUCACUUCUUUGAUCCCGCUGCAUGGUGCCCCAUAAAUACAGCCCUGUCUCCUUCCCCCCCGUCUGCCCCGCGAAGGGUGAUUUUUCUGUCUUAUUGCAUCACCUGUUUGCUUUAAACCAUAAAUACCUGCCUCUGGUGAGACUCUCUUUUGUCCUUAGGUAUCGGAAUGGUUUGUGGGUUUGGUUGAAAGCUAGAGAGGAGAGAGAGCGCAGAAGAAGAAAAAAGGUAUUUUGCCUGAGGACUUGAAGCUCUUUUUUCCCUUUUCCUCCGCUUGACUGACUUUCUCACACUCAGAUUCCCUGCAGCCUGCCAGAGACGUGGUAGCUGCCCUGCCAAGAGCUAUCCUGGGAGGGCCAUUGAAAGAGCCUCCAGAAGUGACUAACGUUACCACCAAAGAUGGAUUUUCCAGUUGAGGACCAGAGCUGCCUGCUGGUUUUUAUCAGAACCGAAGAAGAUGUGAUGCUAGGAAUAUCGAGAAGGCAUUGGAGCACAAAGACAUUGAGCUGCUGGCUGACUUCACAUUUAGCAGAGGGAGAGCCCCUGGAGACAGACCUGGCCUUAAAGACCCCUGCAGCCUCAGGGCCCCUCAAACAUGAGAACAGGCACGAGGUGCUUCAUCAGCUUGGCGGUUGGUUUGCUGGUAUAUGGCAUAUGGCUCCCUGCAGCCCAGUUCCACAAAUGAUUAUGAGCACAUGGACCUGGUGCACAGACUGCCUGGGGCAGAGUAUCUGCCCUUAAACUGCUGGAACAAAGUUGAACCAAAGUUCAAAGAACAAGAAUCGAACAAAGAAUUACAGAACUACCCAGUGUCUUACUUCUAAUAUCCUUCGCCGAUAACCGGCGCCUUGUCUCAUCUCUCUAGCCCUCAGCCAGCACGUGUAGGACACUUAGUAGGAGCUUGGUGAAUAUUUGCUGAGAGGAUUCGUGAAUGAAUGGCUUGCUCCCCUCUUUGGGAGGAAGCACAGAUGUACCCGUAGCUCAGGGCCUUCCCCGGACUGGCUGGAGCUGUGUGGACGCCGUGGGCUCUGGGUUUUCCUCUUACGAGCUGGGCUGAUUACAACUGUUGGUUGUUGUCACCUGUUAUCAGCUGAAUUGUGUCCUCUGAAAAAAACAUAUUGAAGUUCUAACCCCCGGUACCUUAGGAUGAGACCUUAUUUAGAAAUAAGGAUUAUUAAAGAUUUGUGGCAGGGUUGUUGCAGAUGUAAUUAGCUAAAAUGAGGUCAAACUGGAGUAGGAUGGAGAAGAGACACAGAAGCAGAGACACACAGGGAGAAGGUGGCCGUGCGACCAUGGAAGCAGAGGAUGGACUGAUGCAUCUACAAACCAAGGCACUCUAAAGAAUGCUGGCAAACACCGGAAGCUAGCAGAGGCAAGCCAGGAUUCUCCCUUAUGGGUUUCCGAGGGAGCGUGGCCCAGCUGACUCCUUGAUGUCAGCCUUCCAGACUCCAGAACUGUGAGACCAGAAAUGCCUGUUGUUUUCAGCCCCCCCCAGUUUGCGGUACUUUGUUAUGGCAGCUCUGGGAAACUGGUAAUCACCCCACCCUCGAUAUUAUGCGUAAAAGGAAAAUCUAUGACCUCUUUUCCUUUAACUUCUGUGAAAUGUUCAUGGGAAAAGCUCUUUGGCUUGAACUUACUUUUUGGAAGCGUUAACUAUAGUUUCUCAUCAAAAUAUUUCAUGUAUUUAAAGCUCUAAAAGCUUGGUAUGUUGGGUUAUAUGUGUGGCAUAUAUUCGAUACUGAAACAAACAAAUCAAAAAGCAAACAUCCUCCCCCCAGACAAACAAAAAAAGCUCCCCCCUUAGUCUUCAUCUUUUUUAAGGCUAAUUUGCUGAGAGUAGGCUGCUAAGUUUGACCUGAGAGCUUGCAUACUGUUCAGUGUGACGGUGACUGUUACUUCCCCCUCUAGGAGGGGGCAUGAUUAUCUGGGUUAAAUAUGGUGCAGAGUCAUUGUCCAUCUCUCCACAGAAAUGAUGCCUCUUGCUUCUGCAUAUCUUCCUCGUGCUUUGUUUCAUCGAGCCAUCCUCCUGGGGGCAGAUUUCCAGCUCUGGCUGCUCCUCUGGUGCCCUUGAUCAAGGAAGCAUGGCCCUUCCCCCUCAAUCCUCAAGGAGAUUGAGGAAUUUGUAGGACCCACCUCAUUUCUGGUUAUUGAAUAACUGGCAGGGCAUCGAAUGUCAGGGCUAAGAAAACAGACCAGCCUACCUGUUAAAGCAAAUGACAUCAUAGCCCAGGCAGUUCUCAUGGUGUCGGCUUGCACUGUCUGUCAGCAACUCUUUCAUCACAAGCCCCACUUACAUCAUACUGUUCUGAACACCUAACCUGAUCAUUGUCACUGUGCCUACAACAUGGGUGAGUGACAGCAGCUUAAGGUUCUGAUUAAGCCUGGGCAGUCUUGCAUGAGGGGGAAGGGGUCUUUUUUUUUCAGCCUUAAGAAUGGAAGAUAUCAAUGGGGAAGAAAUGAGGGGCUUAUUGUGUUUUAAUUCAAAAUUCACCAUUAACUUCCCAACCUGGAUUUCCAGCCCACGGCUUCCCUCAGCAGUAGAUGGGGAGAAGGGCAAACCAUUAGCUCCCCCAUCCUUCCCUAAAUCUGGCCUACCUUACUAGGCCUUUCCUGCGGGGAAAAGAAGGUUCUGGCACCAUUUCUCUGGCAUGGGUACCACAGCAGCAACACUUAUGGAACUCUGUGAUCCACAAAUCUUUGAUGUGGAAAACAAUGUUCUCUGGGCUUUGGCGGAUGAUCAGAUGGCCUCCCUUAGGUUUUAUUUAUUUGUGGAACUGCUUUUCACCGCUGGUCCUGGAUUCCCAGUUAAUGUCUCUGAAAGAUCACCACGAAGAUGAGAAGAACAAAAAAUGAUCUUGAAGAGUAAGUCAUGGUUUCCUCAAGUUAGAGUUGGGAAAAUUGGGGGGAAACUGAAAGGGAUUUCAUUAUUUUCAGUGAUGUUAAAUUCAUUCAUUUUCUCACUCAUUCAUUGACUUAUUCAUUCAUUCAUUCAACAGACAUUUUCUAAAUGCCACUAUAGGCCAUGCACUGUGUGAUGUGUU